rnacentral:rRNA from 1 species
ACGGGAGGCAGCAGUGGGGAAUAUUGGGCAAUGGGCGAAAGCCUGACCCAGCAACGCCGCGUGAAGGAAGAAGGUCUUCGGAUUGUAAACUUCUUUUAUGAGGGACGAAGGACGUGACGGUACCUCAUGAAUAAGCCACGGCUAACUACGUGCCAGCAGCCGCGGUAAUACGUAGGUGGCAAGCGUUAUCCGGAUUUACUGGGUGUAAAGGGCGCGUAGGCGGGGAGACAAGUCAGGUGUGAAAUCUAUGGGCUUAACCCAUAAACUGCAUUUGAAACUGCUGUUCUUGAGUGCUGGAGAGGCUAACGGAACUCCUAGUGUAGCGGUGAAAUGCGUAGAUAUUAGGAAGAACACCAGUGGCGAAGGCGGUUAGCUGGACAGUAACUGACGCUGAGGCGCGAAAGCGUGGGUAGCAAACAGGAUUAGAUACCCUGGUA